CUUUGACCAAUGCGGCCCAAAUAAACAAAGUUCGUCCGUAACCUAAUCCUAAUGACGGGAGUUCGUCUCUCCUCUUCUUCGACAUGCCGACACGGCCAUCUUCAUCUUUUGCAGACCGAGCAUGUACUUUGUUGAAAGUGAUGGGAGACGAGCUUUACGGCUGAUCUCCGUGGCAUAAUCUGUUCGUCUUCUUUAGAGUGGAUUACGCCUGAGAAGAGAAAUUCGAAGCGUUUCAUGAUGCAAUCAAUCGUCGUCAGUAGUGAUCAUCUUAAGUGCUUAAUCCCACUUUUACCACGAUUCCUCAUUCCAUGUAUCGACCCUUCCUUCCAGUCGGUCAAUCUCCAUAGUGGCUAGCUUAUCUCUCCUCCUUGAUGACUUCAAUGGUCGCUGUAGCACCACCGCUGUCUGCUCAGAUUUUGGGAUGCCAAGAAUGUGAAUAGAAGCGGAGAGCUUAUGGAGGUCGAAAUCCACUCUUCUUGACGAUCAGCUUAAAGGAGAAGUAUCGAGUAUUAUUAUGAGAGUGGUAGUUCAUAAAGUUUUGCCGUCACGAAAGAUGAAGAAUAUAGAGCUCUCACAUGUAAGACGCCAACAGAAACUAUAAUAGAGGAAGUUUAGUUUGUUUUGAUCCCUGAGGAAGCUAGACAGCUUGAAAAGCAACUCAGACAUACGACUAAGGAGAAGAAUGAAGCUUUGGGAGGCCAAGACUCUGGGAAGGUGUUGUCUUUGAGUUUCUCUUACUGUCUAUAAACCCAAGAUAAGUGUUUACUAUUCCAUGAGUUCUUCUCCAACAAGAUGAAUCUCACUAUGACCAGGUUAGAACUUAGGCAUGGGAUAGCUGCUAUUUCAUCCAAAGGCAAAGAAGUGAGCAAAGCUGAGACUAAAGCUGGGGAAGGAGACGUAAUGUCACUGAAUCCAACGUCAAACGCAUGAUCACCACCUAGACAGUAAUACUGGCAGAAAAGUAUUGUCUGAUAAAUUGAGCUGUCUUUCCCAAUAUUGAGCAGAGCCUCCUCACAAGUUAUUGGCCAAGACGAAGCUGUCAAAGCCAUUACCCGGGCGAUCCGACGUGCAUGUGACCGCACAAUCACAAGUUUCAUUUUCAAUGUUAACGGUUUUUGUUUAAAGUUUUCUAUGUACAUUAUGUUUUAUGUAAUUCUUUCAUGCUGCUUGAUCCUAUAUCUAAAACAUCACACUAAGUGAACAUAUUUGUAAACUAUGCAUUUUGAAAAUGUACUAAUCAUUUCUCAUACUUUUUCUUUUCUUUUUGGUGACAGUUGAAAGUAGUU